ACCCCAAACCGACACAGGUGGUCAGGUAGAGAAUACCAAGGCGCUUGAGAGAACUCGGGUGAAGGAACUAGGCAAAAUGGUGCCGUAACUUCGGGAGAAGGCACGCUGAUAUGUAGGUGAAGUCCCUCGCGGAUGGAGCUGAAAUCAGUCGAAGAUACCAGCUGGCUGCAACUGUUUAUUAAAAACACAGCACUGUGCAAACACGAAAGUGGACGUAUACGGUGUGACGCCUGCCCGGUGCCGGAAGG
rnacentral:rRNA from 1 species